AAGUCUUUAAGCAUGGAAAGCUGCCAAAAGAUAGCUUCCAGAAUUGUCAUUUUCGCUUAAAAUCAUAGAUAUUAUCAUGAGUAGGAAGUACUGUUCAUUCUCCAUAAUGCAGUAGGUUCCCUUGGUUCUUUGCUGAGAAUAUGCCUGCAGGGGACCGGGCCCACAUCUCCUGCUCUGUGACCUUCGCACCUCAGCGGCAGCAGAGGGAUUCUGCACACUUCCCAUGUCCUCACUCAGAACACUCCAGGGACCAGGACACAGCGUUGAGAUUUAAUACAACUCAGGACAUUCUCAGGCUACACCUGCUUCUCCGACGCUUGCAUCCCAAGGUGACCGGACAGAUUUCAGGCUCCUGUGGCUCCAGGACCAUCUUCCUUACCGACUCUCGUUGCUGAGAAGUGGAAGCCAAGGCCUUAUAGUGGGUUUGACUCCACUGGAACCAAAGCACCUCACCUGGGGACCAGACCAGGAGCCCCAAUUGCCAGCGAGUGGCACAGACACCCCCUCCCUCAGGGGUGGGAAGCCACUGUGGAUGCCCUAGCCUGUUCCCGCCGUCCUGGAGCCCCCCUGAGCCUUGGCAGGACUGUCCCUGGAAUGUCAUGCCAUCUGCAAGUGACAGAGGCCUGGAAACUUCUGUUCCAUUGAACUCUGCCAGGGAGCUAUACUUAGCCACCGAGUGCAGGCCAGGAGUGGGCUCUCUGAAUAUAGAUAGUAACAAGUGGGCUAUUUUCAAACUCCCAGAGAACCCCCUGGAAUAUUCCGAGUCAAAAUGAUGUUUAUGGAAUCUUCCAGGCUUUUGGAAGCGAAGGCAUAACCUUAGUGUGUCGGCAGCAUCAGCAGUGAGGUUUCUUUGAACGGGGGGUGCGGCAAGCAACGGGACCACCAAGAGACCGGGUGUCCCUCUUGCACCUGUUUCCAGGACCUGAGCUCGUGGGGGCUGGGCGCUAGCAUCUGAGUCAGAGAACAGUGGUUCUCCUGGUUGAGUGUUUGGUGCUGACCCUGCCUGUGGCCUUCAGGCCAUCACCCAGGGCACCUCUCAUGCUGAAAUGUGGGGUCCCCAGCCUUGGAAAUCUUGUUAUGCUUUCCCUCUUGUCCAGAAUCCUUGCUGAUCUCUUAGGCCUUCGCUUCAGCUACAGGUCACCAGGCCACUCCUAGCUCCGGGACCUCUGGUCCCUUCCUUGCUUGCUCCUGCCUUGGAAUGGGGUGACCGCAAGGCCUUCUUUAGGGUGAAGAGGGGAAAUGUGAUCAGUAAAAUUUGGAUAGGAAAAAGAAAGCCUAUAGGUGGAGGGACCCAAGUAGCAGCCACUGGAGAAAAGAUCCAGUCAUGCCCGCUUCACUCAGGACAGAAAUGCAUGAAGCUUUGACCUCCUUCCUGAUUCCUGUUCUGUAGGUGCAGGGAGAAGGUUUCAGAGAGCCAACUUGUAAAUGGCUGUCCCCAGUGAAUUCUGACGACAAGGCAACAUAACCAGGAAAGGCGAGGGGUGGUAGGGGGCAAGACCUGCGCAGCCAGGGCACUGUGGCCUCCCACUGGUCUGACUACAGCCCUCAUGCUGCUGGUGGACCAUCUCCCCCAUUCAUCUUCCGCUGGUUCCUGGGCAGGUGCUCGGGCCUCUCUUCACCCCCUGUGCCAAGCCAGCCUCCACCACCCUGCCCUCUGCCAGUCCAGAUAUAAAUAUAAGAGCAUUUUCCAUGG